GAUGAACGCUGGCGGCGUGCCUAAUACAUGCAAGUCGAGCGAACAGACGAGGAGCUUGCUCCUCUGAAGUUAGCGGCGGACGGGUGAGUAACACGUGGAUAACCUACCAAUAAGACUGGGAUAACUUCGGGAAACCGGAGCUAAUACCGGAUAAUAUAUUGAACCGCAUGGUUCAAUAGUGAAAGACGGUUUUGAUGUCACUUAUAGAUGGAUCCGUGCCGCAUUAGUUAGUUGGUAAGGUAACGGCUUACCAAGGCGACGAUGCGUAGCCGACCUGAGAGGGUGAACGGCCACACUGGAACUGAAACACGGUCCAGACUCCUACGGGAGGCAGCAGUAGGGAAGCUUCCGCAAUGGGCGAAAGCCUGACGGAGCAACGCCGCGUGAGUGAUGAAGGUCUUCGGAGCGUAAAACUCUGUUAUUAGGGAAGAACAAAUGUGUAAGUAACUAUGCACGUCUUGACGGUACCUAAUCAGAAAGCCACGGCUAACUACGUG
rnacentral:rRNA from 1 species